rnacentral:rRNA from 1 species
UGCCAGACUCCUACGGGAGGCAGCAGUGAGGAAUAUUGGUCAAUGGGCGGGAGCCUGAACCAGCCAAGUCGCGUGAGGGAAGACGGUCCUAUGGAUUGUAAACCUCUUUAGGCGGGGAGCAAUGCCGGGCACGCGUGCCCGGAGGGAGAGUACCCGCAGAAUAAGCAUCGGCUAACUCCGUGCCAGCAGCCGCGGUAAUACGGAGGAUGCGAGCGUUAUCCGGAUUUAUUGGGUUUAAAGGGUGCGUAGGCGGUCGGAUAAGUUAGAGGUGAAAUCCCGAGGCUCAACUUCGGAAUUGCCUCUGAUACUGUUCGGCUAGAGAGUAGUUGCGGUAGGCGGAAUGUAUGGUGUAGCGGUGAAAUGCUUAGAGAUCAUACAGAACACCGAUUGCGAAGGCAGCUUACCAAGCUACUUCUGACGUUGAGGCACGAAAGCGUGGGGAGCAAACAGGAUUAGAUACCCCAGUA